UACGUAGGGGGCAAGCGUUAUCCGGAAUUACUGGGUGUAAAGGGUGAGUAGGCGGCACGGCAAGUAAGAUGUGAAAGCCCGAGGCUUAACCUCGGGAUUGCAUUUUAAACUGCUGAGCUAGAGUACAGGAGAGGAAAGCGGAAUUCCUAGUGUAGCGGUGAAAUGCGUAGAUAUUAGGAAGAACACCAGUGGCGAAGGCGGCUUUCUGGACUGAAACUGACGCUGAGGCACGAAAGCGUGGGGAGCGAACAGG
rnacentral:rRNA from 1 species